rnacentral:rRNA from 1 species
GGUGUAGGCGGCUUGGCAAGUCGGGUGUGAAAUCCCUGGGCUCAACCCAGGAACUGCACUCGAAACUGCCUCGCUAGAGUCCCGGAGAGGGUGGCGGAAUUCCCGGUGUAGAGGUGAAAUUCGUAGAUAUCGGGAGGAACACCAGUGGCGAAGGCGGCCACCUGGACGGUGACUGACGCUCAGACCCGAAAGCGUGGGUAGCAAACAGGAUUAGAUACCCUGGUAGUCCACGCCGUAAACUUUGGGUGCUCGACGUAGCGGGUAUUGACCCCUGCUGUGUCCAAGCUAACGCGAGAAGCACCCCGCCUGGGGAGUACGGUCGCAAGACUAAA